rnacentral:rRNA from 1 species
GAAGAGUGGCGAACGGGUGAGUAACAUAUCGGAACGUGCCUAGUAAUGGGGAAUAACUAAUCGAAAGAUUAGCUAAUACCGCAUACGAUCUACGGAUGAAAGCGGGGGAUCGCAAGACCUCGCGCGAUUGGAGCGGCCGAUAUCAGAUUAGGUUGUUGGUAGGGUAAAGGCCUACCAAGCCGACGAUCAGUAGCUGGUCUGAGAGGAUGGACAGCCACAUUGGGACUGAGACACGGCCCAGACUCC